GAAGUUUCGUUCGUUUCGCUAUCAAAUUUUUUUUUAUUCUUUCAUGUAAAACAACGAACCGUUAAUGCACGUUAUUACUUGGAAGCUUGUAACAUUUCACUAAACAAUAUUAUUGGAAUUUGGAACCUGUAUGGAGAUCGAGGUGUGCGAGGUCGAAAAGUGUAAAAGAUUGCCAGGUACAAUUAACAGUGACGUAAUAAUCGCACAAAUGAAAAUAUGAAAAUAACGCGUUACGUGAUGUAAACGAAACGAUGAGAAAAUUAGCAGGGAAUAAUGGGCAGCGCGACGUUUUUCCAAUUACAAAGUACAACAAACAGAAUUUUUAAUUAUCGACCGUCAGGUGGACGCCUAAUUACACUGAUUGCUCGCGCGCGAGAAUGAGUGGAAAAAAAAAAGAAGGUAUGUACUUACGUACAUAAUAACGUUCCGCAAAGCUGAAUUUACGUAAUCAAGGCGAGUAUCUGUCGACGAAUGAUAUCCAAUUUGAUACGUAAACGAUAGAGCCUAUUUUUAUUCGGCAAAGAUUCUUCGCGAUAUUUACGAAGAAUCGUUGGAAGCGCGACGGCUGCCGAUAAGAUAAGUCGAGCCCGAAAGGAGAAGAGAACGAUAAGAAUUGCCACGAGUAUUGUAUCGCGAACAAUUGUUUAUCGACACACGCUCUCGCCACUAUUAAGCACUAGAACCGGACGAAAAUCGGAUUGAAGGAAAUUUUUUUCAGCGAAGAGGAUUUUUCGGCGAAACUUUCUUCGAUCGAAAAAUUUUAAACUUAAAGAGAUAAAUGCAAGUAUAUUGUAAUCAGUUGUGGUGCUUCGAGUAAAAUGGCCCUGUUAGGACGAAAUAUCGCGCGAAACGAACGAUUCUCGAUUCUAAAUAACUUUGAAUUGAGAAACAGAGGAACUAAGUCGUUCCACGUUAUCACGUCUACGUCCCCUUAUGAUUGAUCGAUAUUUCUAGUCUGGAAAGGUUAUUCUCAUUUUCAAUCGAUACGAAGUACAGGACGCGAUGAUAUUCUAGCUUGGAGAUAACGAGAACAUAAUUGUUCCUCCGACUUACGUUUUUAAAUUAAUUUUCCUUUCACGUCCAAUUUACUAUUUUAUAUUGAGAUAAUCGACGCUCAACUCGAAUACAAUAUUUGUAAUCUAUACUUUUCAGAUCAAUGUUCCAGGGAAUACAAAUACAUCCAAGAGAAGGCUCUCGAAAGCAAUGAUAUGAUCGUUAUACGAAAUAAUUGUUUUCAAUUCCGUAUCGUUAUCAGUAUUUGACGUUCGCGAUCUUACGUAGAUAUUACGAUCUUUCAACGACAUGUGACCAACAAUAAGUUCAGUUCUCCAAUUCAGGCAUUGAUGCUUGAUGAAUUGUCCAAAAAAAAAAGAACAGCCAAUAAAUUUUAAUGUUCGUCAAAGUGUAAAUGUUGAGAUGGUGGACACGUUCGAUAACCGCAUUGUUAUGGGAUAAAAGCGUCGAGCUGUGUAUUUUGAUCAAAAUGCUAGCACGCUCGCAUGUUAACGGAUCAGCAAUUUUUCCCUCUCCCUUUUUAUUUUAUUCCUCAAGUUUCUCCCUUUCUACGAAUACACUUGCCAGAUAAGAAAGUACUAAUGGAAAUAUCUCCUUAAUGUCAGAAUUCGACGAACUGACUUGCUUUCAUUCGAUUAGUUGGCAUUCAUCGAAAACGAUACACUGCAACCGAGCCACAUUUUACAUCACGUAAUUUCUGCACAAAAUAAAAAAUAAAAAAUAAAAAAAAAAGAAGACAAGAAUGAAUGUUGACGGUGAAAUAAUAUCCUUGUCAUUGAGGAAUGUGGAUAAUACGGUCAAAAGUGCAGCGACGAUGUAAUUAUCGGCGAUCGAAGGAUAUUUAUAUGUAAUACAUAACACGUUAUAAAUACAUUUCAUUUUCUACCUUAACGUAGUUUGUCUCUUUUUGGAAAUUAUUCAUCGUGGAACACGUUUACAAGUGAAAAUAAUCCACGUGUGCACGUGAAAUUGUUUUUUUUUUUUUUUAAAGCUUAAAUCAUUAACGCACGAUUAAAUUUUUUUUAUAAGAAAAAAACAAUUUGUAAUGGAAGUGGAUAUGCAUAUACAGGCAAAAUUU